GAUGGACAUGGAGAUGGUACAAUAAGCUAAGUGUAUGUCCUGUGGAGGGCAUGGGGAGCUAUCUCUUGACUAUUGUGACCAUUGACUGGUUGAUAAAUUCAAGUACAUGGCAAGCACCUGCGUGGCUCCUGUCACUAAACAUCACAGGAAUCAAUGCCUAGAGAGAUUAUUACUGAUCAAUCCAAGAAGACCAAGUUUUAAGAAGAAAAAUACAAAAAUGUUCCUGGAUAGCUGAACAAGGACAAUAGACAUGCCAAAUGGACAGCAGAAAGCCUAUGAGGCCUCAAGCAUACA